rnacentral:rRNA from 1 species
AUUGAACGCUGGCGGCAGGCCUAACACAUGCAAGUCGAGCGGAUGAAGGGAGCUUGCUCCUGGAUUCAGCGGCGGACGGGUGAGUAAUGCCUAGGAAUCUGCCUGGUAGUGGGGGAUAACGUCCGGACACGGGCGCUAAUACCACAUACGUCCUGAUGGAGAAAGUGGGGGAUCUUCGGACCUCACGCUAUCAGAUGAGCCUAGGCCGGAUUAGCUAGUUGGUUGGGUAAAGGCCUACCAAGGCGACGAUCCGUAACUGGUCUGAGAGGAUGAUCAGUCACACUGGAACUGAGACACGGUCCAGACUCCUACGGGAGGCAGCAGUGGGGAAUAUUGGACAAUGGGCGAAAGCCUGAUGCAGCCAUGCCGCGUGUGUGAAGAAGGUCUUCGGAUUGUAAAGCACUUUAAGUUGGGAGGAAGGGCAGUAAGUUAAUACCUUGAUGUUUUGACGUUACCAACAGAAUAAGCACCGGCUAACUUCGUG